rnacentral:rRNA from 1 species
UAGGGAAUCUUCGGCAAUGGGGGGAACCCUGACCGAGCAACGCCGCGUGAGUGAAGAAGGUUUUCGGAUCGUAAAGCUCUGUUGUUAAGGAAGAACGAGUGUGAGAAUGGAAAGUUCAUACUGUGACGGUACUUAACCAGAAAGGGACGGCCAACUACGUGCCAGCAGCCGCGGUAAUACGUAGGUCCCGAGCGUUGUCCGGAUUUAUUGGGCGUAAAGCGAGCGCAGGCGGUCAAUUAAGUCUGAUGUGAAAGCCCCCGGCUCAACCGGGGAGGGUCAUUGGAAACUGGUUGACUUGAGUGCAGAAGAGGAGAGUGGAAUUCCAUGUGUAGCGGUGAAAAGCGUAGAUAUAUGGAGGAACACCAGUGGCGAAGGCGACUCUCUGGUCUGUAACUGACGCUGAGGCUCGAAAGCGUGGGUAGCAAACAGG